rfam:Candidatus Caedibacter acanthamoebae, complete genome.
AGAUCAGCCCUAGACACUAAGUUUGCAAACCCGGUCAGAUCUGGAAAGAAGCAGCCGUAGCAUUAUUCUUUGUGGGUUAGGUUGCUGGUCUUCC